rnacentral:lncRNA from 1 species
CAUUUCUCAGAUGAUGUUGUACGGGGUAUGGAUGGCUGCAGCACAUAUACAGCAACCAUCCUAUUCAGACUGAUGAGUCUAAAGCAAAGGGAACAAUAUAGUAUUUUUUUAAAAAAAAGAUAAAUCUCAAACCAACCUGAAAACCGUCUCUUCCACCAAAUCCUACUGCACAAUACUGAGAGGGGUGUAUUUAUAGCCCCAUCCUCCCACA